rnacentral:rRNA from 1 species
UACAGAGGGUGCGAGCGUUAAUCGGAAUUACUGGGCGUAAAGCGUGCGUAGACGGUUAUUUAAGUCGGAUGUGAAAGCCCCGGGCUCAACCUGGGAAUUGCAUUCGAGACUGAAUAGCUAGGGUGCGGUAGAGGGAAGCGGAAUUUCCGGUGUAGCGGUGAAAUGCGUAGAUAUCGGAAGGAACAUCAGUGGUGAAAGCGGCUUCCUGGACCAGCACCGACGUUCAGGCACGAAAGCGUGGGGAGCAAACAGG